rnacentral:rRNA from 1 species
UACGUAGGGGGCAAGCGUUGUCCGGAAUCAUUGGGCGUAAAGAGCGUGUAGGCGGCCCGAUAAGUCCGCUGUGAAAGUCCAGGGCUCAACCCUGGAAUGCCGGUGGAUACUGUCGGGCUCGAAUCCGGAAGAGGUGAGUGGAAUUCCUGGUGUAGCGGUGAAAUGCGCAGAUAUCGGGAGGAACACCAAUGGCGAAGGCAGCUCACUGGGACGGUAUUGACGCUGAGACGCGAAAGCGUGGGGAGCAAACAGG